AAUGAACGCUGGCGGCAGGCUUAACACAUGCAAGUCGAGCGAGCGGCGGACGGGGGUGUAAUGUCUGGGAAAAAGCUUGCUGGAGGGGGAUAACUACUGGAAAAGGUAGCUAAUAAUGCACACCCUCAGAUGGGCCCAGAUGGGAUUAGCUAGUUGGUGGGGUAAUGGAUCACCUAGGCGACGAUCCCUAGCUGGUCUGAGAGGAAGACCAGCCACACUGGAACUGAGCCGCGGUCCCGCCUCCUACGUGAGGCAGGAGUGUGGAAUAUUGCACAAUGGGCGCAAGCCUGAUGCAGCCAUGCCGCGUGGGUGAAGAAGGCCUUCGGGUUGGAAAGCUCUUUCAGCUAGGAGGCGUUACUCGCAGAAGAAGCACCGGCUAACUCCGUGCCAGCAGCCGCGGUAAUAC
rnacentral:rRNA from 1 species